rnacentral:rRNA from 1 species
UAAGGAAUAUUGGUCAAUGGAGGCAACUCUGAACCAGCCAUGCCGCGUGCAGGAAGAAGGCCCUAUGGGUCGUAAACUGCUUUUGAACAAGAGAAAACCCCGGUACGUGUACUGGGUUGAUAGUAUUGUUAGAAUAAGCAUCGGCUAACUUCGUGCCAGCAGCCGCGGUAAGACGAAGGAUGCAAGCGUUAUCCGGAUUCAUUGGGUUUAAAGGGUGCGUAGGCGGACUGAUAAGUCAGUGGUGAAAUCUCUCGGCUUAACCGAGAAACUGCCAUUGAUACUGUUAGUCUAGAGUACAGAUGAUGUGGGCGGAAUAUGACAUGUAGUGGUGAAAUACUUAGAUAUGUCAUAGAACACCGAUUGCGAAGGCAGCUCACAAAACUGUGACUGACGCUGAGGCACGAAAGUGCGGGGAUCAAACAGGAUUAGAUACCCUCGUAGUCCCUGAGCGGGCUGGCAAGGCGCAU